rnacentral:rRNA from 1 species
UACGUAGGGUGCGAGCGUUAAUCGGAAUUAUUGGGCGUAAAGCGCGCGUAGGCGGUUACUCAAGUCGGAUGUGAAAGCCCUCGGCUUAACUGAGGAAGUGCACCCGAAACUGAGUAGCUAGAGUACUAAAGAGGGUCGCGGAAUUCCCGGUGUAGAGGUGAAAUUCGUAGAUAUCGGGAGGAACACCGGUGGCGAAGGCGGCGACCUGGGUAGAUACUGACGCUGAGGCGCGAAAGCGUGGGGAGCAAACAGG